rnacentral:rRNA from 1 species
UCAGGACGAACGUUGGCGGCGUGUCUAAGGCAUGCAAGUCGUGCGGAUUACUUACCGUAGCAAUACGGUGAGUAGUUAGCGGCAAACGGGAGCGUAACACAUUGGUAACCUGCUUCGAAGUCGGGCAUAACCCUCCGAAAGGAGGACUAAUUCCACGAUAGUCAUGAGGGGACACAUGUCUUCUCAUGUAAAGUCGCAAGACGCUUUGAAAGGGACCUAUGUCCUAUCAGCUUGUUGGCGGGGUAAAAGCCCACCAAGGCUAUGACGGGUAGGGGGUGUGAGAGCACGACCCCCCUCACUGGGACUGAGACACUGCCCAGACACCUACGGGUGGCUGCAGUCGAGAAUAUUCCCCAAUGGCCGAAAGGCUGAGGGAGCGACGCCGCGUGCAGGAUGAAGGGCCUCGGCUCGUAAACUGCUUUUCCCAGGGACGAAAACAUGACGGUACCUGGGGAAUAAGAGGUUGCUAACUCUGUGCCAGCAGCAGCGGUAAUACAGAGACCUCAAACGUUGUCCGGAUUUAUUGGGCGUAAAGGGUCCGCAGGUGGCUGUGUGCGUCAGUGGUCAAAUCCCCGAGCUCAACUCGGUAACCGCCACUGAUACGGCACGGCUAGAGCAUGGGAGAGGUGAGCGGAAUUGCCGGUGUAGUAGUAAAAUGCGUUCAUAUCGGCAAGAACACCAAAUGCGAAGGCAGCUCACUGGAACAUUGCUGACACUCAGGGACGAAAGCGUGGGGAGCGAAAGGGAUUAGAUACCCCUGUAGUCCACGCCCUAAACGAUGAAUGCUAGAUAUCGGGAGUAUCGACCCUCCCGGUGUCGGGUUAAAAUAGCUAACGCAAUAAGCAUUCCGCCUGGGGAGUACGGUCGCAAGACUAAAACUCAAAGGAAUAGAC